CAGCUCCCCGGCGCUUUCCCUACAGAUGUACUUCUGCAGGGAACAUCUGCCCCCAAAAUCUCUUGGGGUUGGUGCUGAUGGACCCAUGGUAAUGCCGGGCUCUGCAUCUCAGAGAUUUAAAGGGAGGAAUGAGCAGCAGAUGUCUGAAUCCCUGGAUGGAAGCAUCGGAGCGAUCCCAGCACCAAAGCACCAGUGAAGUAUUCGGCAGAGAGGGAAAUGGAUGUGGAUUUCUGCCUGCUCUUGCCUGGUGUCAUCGCUGGGAGAAAACUCGUGCCAUUGCCCGCUGUGGUGAGCUCAGAGCAUGUUGCUAAGGGCCAGCCCCUGGCGGUUUCUGGAGCACCAUCUUCUCUUUGUGGAGAACGCAGAGCAGCAGCACCCGGCUCAGAAAUCGCUCCCGAAUCCAUUCAUGACUGAGGAACCCUCCAUCCCAGCUGAGCCAGACCUGCCAUCCUCCAACCUCACCAACGCAACAGACUGUGGCGAGGAGAUCUUGCUCUAUGGGGACACUGAGAAGAUUGUCAUUGGAGUGGUGCUCUCCAUCAUCAUCCUCAUGACCAUUGCCGGCAACGGUCUGGUCAUCAUCUCUGUGUGCAUCGUCAAGAAGCUCCGGCAGCCCUCCAACUACCUGGUGGUGUCCCUUGCAGCUGCCGACCUGUCAGUGGCCUUCGCUGUCAUGCCCUUUGUGACCAUCACAGACCUGGUGGGGGGAGAGUGGCUCUUUGGGAAGGUUUUUUGCAACGUGUUUAUCGCCAUGGACGUUAUGUGUUGCACCGCCUCCAUCAUGACCUUGUGCAUCAUCAGCGUGGACAGGUAUCUGGGGAUUACUCGGCCACUGACGUACCCCGUGAGACAAAAUGGGAAGCUGAUGGCCAAAAUGGUCUUCAUUGUUUGGCUUCUGUCUGCCUCCAUCACCCUUCCUCCUCUUUUUGGCUGGGCCAAGAAUGUCACCGUGGAAAGAGUUUGUCUCAUCAGCCAGGACUUUGGGUACACAGUCUACUCCACGGGGGUUGCCUUCUACAUCCCCAUGGCGGUCAUGCUCGUCAUGUACAUCCGGAUCUACAAAGCCGCCAAGGUCAGCGCCGAGAAGCACCGCUUCAUGAAUUUACCCAAGCACUACGAAGAGGAGGGUGUCUACUGCCUGGAGUCCUCCAGCCGGAGCCACCACAGCUCCAAGCGUACUAAAGCAGUGGAGGAAUGUGCUACGCUCUCCAAACUGCUCCGGCAAGACCGAAAGAAUAUUUCCAUUUUCAAACGGGAGCAGAAAGCAGCUAGGACCCUUGGCAUUAUUGUGGGGGCAUUCACGUUUUGCUGGCUUCCGUUCUUCCUAAUGUCAACGGCUCGGCCUUUCAUCUGCGGCAUCCACUGCAGCUGCAUGCCCCUGCGGCUGGAGAGGACUCUGCUCUGGCUGGGAUACACCAACUCCCUCAUCAACCCCUUGAUUUAUGCUUUCUUUAACCGAGACCUGAGGACUACUUUCUGGAACCUCCUGAGGUGCAGGUACAGGAACAUCAACAGGAGGCUCUCUGCUGCCAGCAUGCACGAGGCUCUGAAAGCCACAGAGAGGCACGAAUGCAUCCUGUAGAGCCGCUCAGUGCCUGACCAACGAACUCCCGCCUCUCCAUUUCAGGUUCCUUGCUUCUCUUGCCUCUCAGGGCUGGCAGAAACCAUGCGUGCCAUUGUCCCCCUGCCAGACAUCACCACUGAGAGUGACACCCCUUUCCCUCACCCCAGGAGGAGCUGCGGUUCUCCUCGCCUUGGGAACAAGUGGGCAGACCUUCCUUCUCACCAUGUCCUAGGUGGGAGCUGAGAAGUAAUGAGCAAGACUUGGGGGUUCAAGGUCUACCACCGACUGUGGGCAAGUCAAACCACCUUUCUGUGCCUCAGUUUCCCCCUGUUUAAAAAAAAAAAAGAAAAGAAAAAAAAGAAAAAAACAACCCUUCCAACUAAACAACAACAAAAACCCCCUAAAAACUUGAUAAGACUGUGGCUCUCCACCUUCCAAAAGGGCUCUAAGGUCUAUGGAGGGCACAGCAUAUACUAUGUAAAGAUAACGAUGGCUGUACUUCUCUAUCAAAUAUGACAGCAGCUAUAGGCUCCGUUAUAGAACCAAGCACUCAUGCCAUCCCAGCUUAUAUGAACUCUUUCCACCGAUGUAAUUGCAUUUUACACACUGAGCUCAUGUCCAGGUUUGCACGUCAGAGCAGUAAUACCAAUGACCCCAUUUCCCCUCACACUGUAGCACUGCAGCACUUGAAAGAGGCACGCUCACAGAACGAAACACAAAUGAACAUGAAGUUUCCUUUAUGGUUGGAUAGGAAAGUCCAACGGCCUCCUCAUCAGGGCAUUGACCACCCCACAAACCCUUACCCAUUUGUAAACUCCAUGUUGUUGACCCCAUUUGUUGACUCCAUGGGAUCAGUUGUUUGAGGAUCUCCUAUCUGGGUUCUCUUGUCGAAGACAGAUUGUUCAGAGGCUCAGGAAAGGGCCCUUCCACCACUACAGAUUCUUCUUCAUCAGAGCCUGGUUCCUGGGGUGGACCAUCCCCAGACCCAUGCCUGACUUGUUUCUCAAAGCUAAAGAUCCACUUCCCAAAGCAGAAGGAAAGAAACGCAUGUAUCAGCGUGGGCUCUGGAACAAACUGGAAAGAGACGUUAUCUGCCUCUGCACCCAGCAAUGCAGGUAGGACUGGAAGCUUGUGUGAUCCACUGCAGUCAGAGAGGGGUCUGGAGCUGCCUUGCAGCUUGAGUUUCAUUCUUAAAUCACCCGAAGCUUUCCCUUGGCUCAUGUCACAGCCAGGAUUGGCACUGGAAGGGCCCCUUUACAGGAGGGGCAAUGGUGCAAAGCCAGAUCAGCCACCACUUCCUCCUCACACCAACCUUGCCAGCUCUCCCACUAUUACUUUGCUGCUGGAAAGCAUAUCCAAAGCUGAUCUCACCUCCAAAAUACCUCUAGCUGAAGAGAAAUACCUGCUGCUAGUCAUCAAUGGGAAUGAAGUGUACAAAUGAGUUGGCAGGACAGGUGGGCUCUCUACCAAACUCCUCCUAUGACUUACAGUGCAAGCCUAGCCAAGCCUUUAGACUCCUUGAGCUCCUGCUUCCCCUCCAACCCCAAGACUGUUUUGUUUCUGUUUCAUGAGCUUCGGUAGAGGAGGAAUAAAAGUUCAUAUUCAGCACCUAGGCAUACCUUCAUCUCCAGAUAAACCACCUCUGGAGAUGCUUCUCCUGACUAUACAUUCAUUACGAACAGGUAUAUGACUUUCUCUAUAUAGCUGUGCUAUACCUAGGGCCAAAGGACAGUCAUCAUUCAUUAAAAAUAUACACUAAUGCAGUAAACACUCUGGGAUUUUAGCCCAGAAGGAAAAAAAGGCUUUAAAAGCAAAAUAAAGU